UACGGAGGGUGCAAGCGUUAUCCGGAUUCACUGGGUUUAAAGGGUGCGUAGGUGGGCAGGUAAGUCAGUGGUGAAAUCUCCGGGCUUAACUCGGAAACUGCCAUUGAUACUAUCUGUCUUGAAUACCGUGGAGGUUAGCGGAAUAUGUCAUGUAGCGGUGAAAUGCUUAGAUAUGACAUAGAACACCAAUUGCGAAGGCAGCUGGCUACACGAAUAUUGACACUGAUGCACGAAAGCGUGGGGGAUCAAACAGG
rnacentral:rRNA from 1 species